AGGCAGCCGCUGGCGUUGCGCGCCCCGGGGUUGCGCGCCCCGCGUCUCGCAGCGCCCCGCAGCUACGGUACAGCAGCUCUGAACUCGGAGGUCCCGCUCCCCUCAAAUAAUACCGAGGUUUUCAUCUCACCAUAUAUAACCUACGGGAUGUACGUGCUUUUCAUUUAAUUCUAGGACUGUGUCAUUUUUUGUUUAUUUCUCCAUUGAGGUUAAGAAUAGAAAAUAACACUACCAUGAAAAUU